UAACUGCUAAUCAGGAAUGGUCUAUGAAAUGGCUGAUGAAUUUUAAGGCUGGACAACUGAGGCACAGCAAGACUAGGACUCAGAUUUCCCAGCAUCCAGACUGCCAUCAGUCAUUCACAAGUUCAUCUUUCCUCAUCUCCUGGAAUGGAGAUGGAUGAAGCUUCUCAACUGUUUUCUGAUGGAGUGAUUUUUUUUUUCAAUUCCAGAGAAGAUCUGCAACUAUCCAAAUGUCAAACUAACUUUUCACUGCAACACUAAUCCAUAUCCUGCUCUAACCCAUUGUUCUUUGUCUCUAUUUUUUAUCUGUACCCUUUUCUCCCCCUCUCUCUUCAUCUAUCUUCUGACAUUUCAUAGCUUAUGAAUAAUUUGUAUAUCUGUCAGGUUUAAGGCUGCAGUCUUAAAAACUGGCUUCCCACAACACAGCUAUGUACUGAAUGUA